AUGCUUUUAUUUUUCUUUUUCUCCCAAUUUUUUUUCUCGCUUCGUGGUUUUCGCAUGAAGAAUGCUUCGAUUCGACGACUGCUGAGGAGAUUCACGUUGAGUAAUCUUAUGAUUAGGAUGAAACCAUUACAAUCGACUGGGCUUCUUUUUCCUCAUGGUGAUUUGGCACACGACUAGUUUAUUCGGCUGGGAUUCUUCUCCGUCGUGAUUAUUUGGUAAUUAAGAUCUAGGGUUUGUUUGUUCUGUUUGGUUUGAUUCGGCACGAAACUAUUUAAUCGGCGGCUUGGUUUCUUCUUCCUCCUCAUGGACUGUGUUUUUGCAUAUCACAUUGAUAUGGUGACGAUGAGCUCAUGCGAUUUGGUCAUACAUCUAUCAUCGGCAAACAUUUUGUUAUCUAAUUAGUAUAGUCCACAUCGGCUAGUCUGGGAAUUUGGUAGUGGGGGUAUUUAGUCAUGGUCUCAUCUCUCUUGUGACUGGAUCAGCUUAUUUCUUUCCAAUUACCUCAAGUAGCUACUGGCAAAGGAAGGGUAUUUAAUAGUAUCAGUGCCGUACAAUGUUACAUUUGAUCAUGAACAAGCUGCUAAGCAGGUUUAUGAGAGGUUCAAUUCCUGCUUGGACACGAUUGUCUCAUCUGGAAUUCCAACUUCAAAUUUGAAGCCUCAAGAUCUAGCUGACCUUCCUCUUUUCUCAGUUGGUCACAGUAAUGGUGCACUGUUACAAGUUUUGACCGGAAGUUAUUUUGCUGAGAAGAUACCAAAGGUUAAUGCCAUCAUUUCAUUCAACAAUAAAUCAGCGACAGAGGCAGUUCCAUAUUUUGAGCAGGUUUUGAGACCGCAAGUGGAGGAGUCAAGAUGAGAGAUGAGCACUAAGUGUUCUGCCAGAUUCUAUUUUGGGGACAUUGUCCCGAGCAAAAUCGUGAACUGUUGGCUUGGUAGUGCAUGCAUGUUGGGAAUUGGAAAAGAGGUUGCGUUUUGUAGGCUAAAUAAGUCUUAAGACAAAAGACAUAGAACCAAAGAGUUCUCAAAGUUUGGUACCCUCGGCUGAUAAAAACCAUAAGACAUGAAUUACUGACCUUGCGGCUUAAUGAUUCCUAAGACAAAGACAUAAAAGAACCAAAGAGCUCUGAUUGGUACCAUUGGCUUGGAAAAACCAUAAGACAAAGGAGUCAAAAGACAUUGGAAGGGUAGGGCAUGCAUGUAAGGAAAUGAGUUGCGAUAUGUUGGAUUGAGC